UAGGAUUUAAUUUUUACACUUUUGUAAGAACUUUUAAAAAAAAAAACCAGACCAGAAAAACUCACUUUGUUGUUUUCUGCUCUUUGCUUAAGGGAAUUUGUGUGUGUGUGUAUGUGUAUAUGUACAAAAGUGAGAAAAAAAAAACGUGGGCUGGCCCCAUGGCUGAGUGGUUAAGUUCGUGCACUCUGCUUCGGCAGCCCAGGGUUUCGCCGGUUCAGAUCCUGGGCAAGGACAUAGCACGACUCAUCAGGCCAUGCUGAGGUGGCAUCCCACAAGCCACAACUAGAAGGACCCACAACUAAAAUAUACAACUAUGUACCGGGGACUUUGGGGAGAAGAAAAAGAAGAAGAAAAAAAAAAGAUUGGCAACAGUUGUUAGCUUAGGUGCCAAUCUAAAAAAAAAAAAAAUGUGUCACUAUAUUUAUGGGACCCUUUUGGAUUCAGCUAAGUUUUCAUAGGUUUGGCAGAUUAUUGGAAAGUUUUGCUCCUCUAAUUCCUCAUGUAGGGGUCCUCUGCCAAGUGGAUCAUUGUGGGUCUAUGAAAUUAGGGGGGUGAUUAUUUCCUGGCUGAGUUUUGUAAUCUCUUCCCAGAGCUUCCCGUCCAAGUACAACAUCCAUGGUUUCAAUGGAGGCAGCAACCCCACCUGGCAGUGCCUCAGCUCGUAUGGAUGGGCCAGCACUGGCCAUGAGUUAUCAAGCCAGUGAGUCUGAAUCACAGCUCUAUCCCUACAGGGCAAGACUCAGUACUUAAUGGAAACCAUCACACCAUUGCACUGCGAGAGCUCAUCUAACAUGUUGGCUUUGAGAAGCCUCAAGCCUGAAGUAUUGAACGGUCACCUAGAGCAUGUUCAUUUGAUCUGACAGCGCUAGAGAGGAAUGCAGAGGUGGAAACAAGACAAGGAAAUUCCGAUGCGCACGUAUCAGCCCUGGGAUAGAAAGCCUGGAGAAAAGAUGCAAGACUUGCAUGCCCAUCGCAAUCCAUGCCACAGGUGCUGGAAAGAGAACAGCAACCUUUAGUAAGCAAGCGACUGUGACGUGUCCAAGGUCAACCCAGAUUGAUUUCUUUGUAAACGAGCUGCUCAGAAAAUUGAUUUCUUCAAGCAAUCAUACAGCAAGCAUUUGCCAUUCCCUUCAAAGAAUGACACAAUAACAGAAACAAAGUUGGAGAAUGAGGAUCUACAUAAUUUUUACUCCCCCUGUUGCAGGCAGUAAGAGACAGACAUUGGGUUGGGGUGACGUACAGGGUGUAUUGCCUACAUGGAAGUGGCAAAAUUCAUUUAGCUUGAAAUAAACAGUUACCAUUUAUAAUUAAACUUUCA
rnacentral:lncRNA from 1 species